UAUUGGAGACAGAGAUACGAAGCGGUUUUAUGGCUUAAUAAAAAUAGUUUAUGUUUAAUUUGUUUAGAAAAAAAAGGUAAACAAUCAUAUCAUUAUUUAAAGUACAACCAUCGAUGGCAAAUAAAAUUAAAGAAUAUAUUUUGCCUGUGUAAAAUACAGGGUUUAUUGUGUAAUUUGUUUAAAUUGUAAAAGAAACAUCUCUUUGUUGGAGAAAUGAUCAAGCAUUUAUCUGUCAAACUGGAUGAGUUCACAAGCCAAGAAUAUGACGUAGUAUUGAGCUUAAUGAUAAUAUUGAAUUAUCUUAAUUUAAAAACACAACCUGUCUAAUCUCUGAUGGAAAUUAAGUGCUGUUGCUUCUUCUAACUUUUUGAUGUCAUUACAACUGUUGCUCUAGUAAGGCUGUUUGUCAGAAAAACUUGAUCCAACAUUAUGCAAGCAAGUUGCUUCAGACAUAAUCAAAAACAAGAUGGAGCGAGAAGACCAGCCUAAUAAAAUAUUUAAAGGUAUGUUUUCGAAACCAGAUAGCCCAAUUCUAAGAAAAACGUAAAAAUUGUUUUUACGUUGAUAAGGCUGGUUUGCUGCUUUAAAUGAACUUCUUUUUGAUGGUGCAAAGUGUUGCUGAGUUAACUGACAUAUAAAUUAGUAAAGAUCGUGGGCAAGAUUGAGUGAUAGGCAAAAUUAUGCAAAAUUAUGCAAAACUACCCUAAAGCAAAAAAAUUUUUCCAACGUUGGUUUGCUAUGAGAUAUAAUCUUUAUCUCAAUUGCUU